rnacentral:rRNA from 1 species
CCGGCGCUUGUCGGCUCCUCUCUAAAUGCAUUAGCUCGGAUCAUACGUGUUCGAUCUGCGGUGUGAUAAACGUCUACCCGUGCGAUUGACGCCUCGCAUGAAUGGCUAUACCGUUGGCUUUCGAGCCGGCAGCGCUUCGGCCGUGUAAAGCUUUUUUGUGCGAGUUGGUCUGGCUUCCAAUCGCCUUCUAGGCAAUCUUAUGACAUCUGAGCUCAAAUCAGGUAGGACUACCCGCUGAACUUAAGCAUAUCAAUAAGCGGAGGAAAAGAAACUAACAAGGAUUCCCCUAGUAACUGCGAGUGGAGCGGGAAAAGCUCAAAUUUAAAAUCUGGCGUCUUCGGCGUCCGAGUUGUAUUCUGGAGAAGCGUUUUCCGCGC